rnacentral:rRNA from 1 species
UACGAAGGGGGCUAGGCGUUGCUCGGAAUCACUGGGCGUAAAGCGCACGUAGGCGGCCUCGUAAGUCUGCUGUGAAAGUCAAGGGCUCAACCCUUGGAUGCCGGUGGAUACUGCGAGGCUAGAGUCCGGAAGAGGCGAGUGGAACUCCUGGUGUAGCGGUGGAAUGCGCAGAUAUCGAGAGGAACACCUGCGGCGAAGGCGGGUAGCUGGGCCGACACUGACGCUGAUGCGCGAAAGCCAGGGGAGCGAACGGG